CCCUCCCCACACGCCCGCUGUCCACGCGCUGCGGCCUUGGAGUAACUGCUGUUCUUAAAGGCUGCCUCCGUCCUGCCGCGCGGCCUUUAGAGGGUUGGAGCUGGCAGAACCGUAACUCCCUCUCUGAGGGUGAAUACGGGCCUUGAUUGCCAGAAGGGCCCUCGGCCGGGGACGCGGGAUGAUGCGGGGCCGGGAGAUGCUUUCCUGGAGGCUGAGAAACCUGGAGGGAGACCCCCAAAACUUCUCAGUUCGCCGACCCCUUGGUCCCAGAGGGAGAGGAGCAUCCCCAAAGAACAUUCAAGUCUGAGCCUCAAGGAGCCUCUGCGACUCGGUGUCUAGAUCCAGGAAAUGGAGAAUGAGCCGUGACUUUGGAUGCUUCACUCUUGUCCAUCAGGCUCGGAAUUGGUGAGCAUCUCCCACAUUACCGUCUCCAACGGAACAAGGUGCCCCAUUGGACAUUUCCUCUGCAUGGACCAGCCAUUCUCCAAAUCUGCCCCCAUGUCACCCCAGCUCCCCAUCGCAGUCACUUCUCACUCCUUGUCCCCUGUCCCCCUGAGUGACAGGACUUUUGCCAGUUAGGUCCUGUCCCUGUUUCUGAUCUUGGGUCCAUUCCCCAUGGUCCCUUUCUUGCUUGUGCCUUGGGAUCUCAGGCCUGUUGAAGUAGGAGGCAGGACUCAACUUCAGACCAGAUUGAAGACUGGCUGACACAGAAGAGGCACCAAAAGCACCUCUCUCUCCAUAAGACAUGCCCACCAGUGCCAUGACAGUUUACCAUUGCUAUGGCAAUGCCCAGAAGUUCUCACCCCUUUUCCAGACAUUUCUGCAUAAUCUACCCCUCAAUUGGCAUGUGAUCAAAAGUGGGUGUCAAAAUGACUGUGGAACUGUCCCUGAGCUGCUACUCUUGACAUGCUGGUUACAGGGUAGCCCGGCUCUGCAGGGACAGUCACGGAGCUGAAAAACUGCUGCCUAAUGAAGCUGUUUUCUUCUA
rnacentral:lncRNA from 1 species